UGGGAUUAGAGGCGGCCCUUGGGCUCGAGACCGGAUGUAGGCGGAGUAGGCGCACGGAGCCCAGCCUGCGGUGCAUGUUUUGGGGGCCGCAGAUUAAGGGGGUCCCGGAGCAACUGUGUUACAGUUUAAGUGUCUUUUUACUUGCCAAAGGAAGAGAGCAGAGGAAACGAUCUCUGAGUGGCAGGUUGUUUGCAUGAAGCAUGGUCACCGCUGCUGAGGAAUCCUUUGGCUUGGGCUGAGUCGGUCCCUCCUGCGUCUUCAGUCCUUGCGGUGACAUCCACGUUGUUCCACUCGUGAUAAAUGAAGGGCCUCUUGGGCUGUGCUCCUCGCCUCAUAAUGAGAAUUACCAGCAGGCCUGGAUGGAUCCAAAGUAAUGUGAGCCUGCUGUCCUGCAAAUGUCUGUAAUAAUAAAUGACAAGGAAGGCAGAGGUGUGAUACAUUCAUUUCCUUAUUAUGAAAUGUCCCUGUAGAUUUUCAGUGCCCAAAUUUAAACGAGAAAAGAAAGCAAGCUAUCCUUUGGGGCCUUUGGUUGCAUAUCAUGAAAGAGUGUCAGUUUGGCGUGAGACAAUGACUUCUUUGGGAUCAGAGGGCUUUCUAGAGAUUACAGAGGUACCUCGUUUGGAGGUUUAAUUGCAGACAGUUUCAAUAAGGGUAAUGCUAGAUUAAGCAUUACCAGUUGAUUUAAAUGGGAAAUGGAUUAUGAUUAGAAAUAUGAGUUAGAGCCACCCUGAAAACCUUCAGAAAAUUACAACUGUAGGUCUUCAUAGGAGAAGUUACCUUUUUCCAACUUGACAGUAAAGGCUCUGUAGUAUCAGAUUCUAGAAGCAAGGAAUGUCAGAACCGGAAAGAGCACUAGUGAUCGUGCCUCUUCCUCCUGUAGAUGUGAAAGUCAGAUCCAGAGCCAUAAAAGGAUUUACUGAAGACCCAAGGCCAGGCGGUCGUUGAGGCAUGCUUAUAGAUUAAGUCUUUUGACUUGUUUGCGUUUCCCUCUGUUCUUGAUAUGUGAUGAUGAAAGAGCUUGGUGGACUGUAAAGUCUUAUGUGAUCUACUGGCAUCCCGUCAUCUCCGUGUGCUGCCUCCAAUCCUAAUUUGACCUUCCUGGGCCUUAGCUUACUUGGUGACAUUAGUUGAUGUCCAAGUUCUCUUCUUUUCUAAAAUUCCAUUCCUUCAUGGCUCUAUUUUUAGAAAAUAGAGGUAGUGGUUGAAAGAACCUUGGAAUUCAUCAGGAAACUCUUAAGUUUUGCCUCCACUGACCCUCCUCCUUCAGUCUCAUCUCUUGCUGCAUUGUGCCUAUCCCAUCCCCUGACCUACCAGUGCAGCUCCCCAAAUGCCCCAGGAUCAGAGCAUCUGUGCGUGAUGUGCCCCCUGCCAUCUUUGCCCUGCUAAGUCCUAUUUGUUCUUUAAGGCUCUGUUCGAGCAUCAACUUCUCAGGAAGGCUUUCUGAGUCCUCUUAUAGGCUUCCCCAGCACCCGAUGCCUGUUGCUACCAUGGUUUAUCACACUGUGUGGUAACUAUCUACCUAGAUCUCGCUCUAUCUUUCCAGGCUGUGAACUCCUCAGCUGUGAAUACCAGUGCCUGCACUGUGCCUGGAACGUAGGAGAGGCUCAGUAAAUGUUUGUUUAAUGCUGAGUGGUUUUCUCCAAGAGAUGACCGGCAGUUCCAUACUGAUGGCUGUGUCUUGUCUUUUAAGACUUUGACAUCUGGGCAUUGGCUGGUGUGCACCGCCAACUGGUGGCUUAGAUGGAAUAAUGAAGGUGUUAAGAUUCAUCCCUUGGUGCCACUUUGCUGAUGGAAGGAGCUCAAGGUGAAUGACUUCUGAGCCUUCAUCACAGGACAGCAUGAAGCUAGUUGCUUGCCAUCUAGCCAAACUCUAUUUCAAGGUGGGAGCUCUGGAAAGAGAUGUUGCAGACCCCAAAGAAGGUAUAGCCUCUUCUGGGUUUACAAGACCUAGUGUACAUCGGCAGCCUCUUUAGAGUUCUGGAGAGAUGGGUGUAAGCCUUCUGCAGCUGGAGGAUGGGAAGAGGUCAGCCGUUCUCUAAAAUCCUCAGAGGUUUUCCUUUCUGAGUUUGCUGAGUGGUUUCUAAUGUGUGUUAACUCAGGCUGCUGCUAAUUGCUGCUGAUUGCUGAUGAAUUGCUGGCAAUAGCAAGCGACUGUCCUGGCAGCAGGAAAGGCUUGUCCCAAGAUAACAGGAGUAGGGAUAGAAUGGUGUAGGUGGUGCUGAGCUGCCUACACCCAGGAGCCCAGAAUGCCCAGGCAGCCCAACAAGCCACUUAGCAAGGGGAGCCAGGAGCAAAAGCUGUCUUGGGAGCCCAAGGCUACCAAAAGUGUGGAGACAGAGGGCAUGAUUCAGCAGGAGCUGGGACUCUGCUGUGUUAAUGUUUAUAUUGAAUGAUGAAUGGAAGUUGGCCACCAAGCUUAAGGAAAGUUGCUUCUCAACACCUCAGUGUGUCAGGAUCCUUGAAGGAAUCCAGGAUAAAAUAAGAGACAUAAUGCCAAAUGGAAACAAGGGAACUGAAGAUUCUGAUAACGUGAUCAGAAUUAAUGGAGGGUGUGUGCAUGAUAUGUAACAGGAAAGUAGUUCCGGACUACUGAGAUUACCUAAUCGUUGCUGGCCGCCUUCUCUCUCCAGCAGAGUUAUAAGGGAGGCUUUGCCCUGUCACCCCUGCUUUUCCUUCUCCCAGGCCUGGGGUGGGGAUGUGGAAAGAGGCACAUUCAUUUCUUGAGUUCACUCACUGUGUUGUAGUAGGCUUUAGGGAUAUAGCAUGAAAGUAGAUGGAGUUUAAAGUGUUUUAGUCCUUCCUGAUUUUUCUUUAUUCCUCUGAAAAUUUAAUCCAGCUAUUGACCCUGCCUGGAUGCUAUUUCUUCUUCUUUGGUUGGGGUGGGAUGGCUGUGUGUGUGUGUGUGUGUGUGUGUGUGUCCUUGAGGCAGGUACUGAUGUUCCAGCAGGGAGGCCAGGGCCAGGAUCCUUUCUUGGUAACUUAGGGGUCAACAGCAGACAUGAAGGGAAGGAAGGCUUGGCUCGGGGGCCUUUAGAUCAAAGGGGCCUCUGAGACUUGGUUGGGCUGGCUCCUCUUUGUUGGAGUGAAGUCUCCACAACAAGCAUACUCGAUCAGUGAUUGCGUCAGUUGGGACUGUAGCAGGAAAUACAUGGUACACUGAAAUGGUCACUUGGAGAGAGUUUUUUUUGUUGUUGUUUUGUUUUGGUUUUUUUUUUUGCGGUACGUGGGCCUCUCACUGCUGUGGCCUCUCCCGUUGCGGAGCACAGGCUCCAGACGCGCAGGCUCAGCGGCCAUGGCUCACGGGCCCAGCCGCUCUGCGGCAUGUGGGAUCUUCCCGGACCGGGGCACGAACCCGUGUCCCCUGCAUUGGCAGGCGGACUCUCAACCACUGCGCCACCAGGGAAGCCCCUGGAGAAAGUUUAAUGAAUGGAUUUUUUCAGAGACAUGGACGGGGCCAAGGAAAUCAGCAAAGGAUGAAGCACCCAGAGAGUAGCAACAGUGGACAGUGCCUUCUGAUGAUAAUUGGCAAUCCCAUGGAGCUGCCACUUGGAAACUAUAUGUACCAGCUGAGGACUGAACAUCUGACCAUUGUGGUGCAUCAUUCCCUUAUCACUGGAACAUCUACAGGUAUUAUUAAACCCAUUUUACAGAUGAGGCAUGUUAAGGAAUGUACCCAAUGCCACACCUCCAGUAAGUGAGGAAACAGAUUUGAAUACAGAUCUGUCUGAAUCUAAAUGUCAUGUCUUUUCUGGCUGCAAGCAUUACAUCUCUCAUUCAAGGCAGUAAGGGGUGAAGGCAGGGGUGGCGUCAUCCUUACCUGUCCCUUUUAUUAUGAAAGCAAAAACUGCUGUGUCAUCCCCAGAAGACUCCCACUUAUUUCUUACUGGCCAGAAUUGUGUUAUAUGACCCCACCCCUCCAGUUGCAAAGCAGGCUGGGAAGGCAAGUAUUUGGCUUUUCCAUCCUGUAUAGUGGAAAGUGUGAGGGAGCAGGAGUUGAGAAUGAUUCUUAGGUCCACCAACUAAUGACUGACUUCUUUCUAGAGUUUUUGUGACACAGUCUUUCUUUAGAUAAUUUGACACAUUCCAUCUGGUUUUGAUCAAUGAAUGCAAGAUUCUUCACUUUUUGGUUAUUUAAGGUGACAGCACAUUUCUGAUCUAUUAUGUAUUGGUUUCUCCUGUCUCUGGGUUUCUGGGAGGCACUUCACACGAAAGCCGGUGGGUGCUAACAAUAGUGCCUAUGGUACCAGGAUUAGAGAUCAGUGGAAAGCCCUAAACACACUCCCUGGCGCAUAGCAGAUAUUUGGCAAAUGGUCGCUAUGAUCAUUAUUCAUCAUUUCUGCCUUUGCACGAUAGGGGAAGGUCUUAGAGGGAGGUGGCUGGCUAUGCAGAUGGUAUUGACAAAUAGAAUUUGGAUGUGCGAGCUGUGGUUUAAGACACCAGGAUGAUGCAUUCCUGGCUAAGUGUGAAGAAUGGACGGAGGGGCAGAUUGCAUUUGUUCAGAGGGUAGCUAACAGAUGUAGAGCUUUACACUGAGCAGGGCCAGAGAAGAGAGAAAACCGUAGCCAGAUAAAUCGCUGAAAUUGGUUCUACAGAGAAUAGGAAUUGUGAGUUAAAAGUGGGAAAUUGUGAUUUUGAGACAGUUGGGGAAGUGAACUGGAGAUUGUAGUACUCUAGGCGUUGGGCUGACCUCGUUGUGUUGCAAUCAUGUCACGUUUACAUUUGCUUUGCCUUGUCAACAUAAUCUGGAAUAAGAUAAGCACCAUCCUAACCUUCCCAAAGGGGAUGGAAGUAAUUCCAGACCUAGAGAUGGCAUUCAGUCUAGAUGAUGGCUUAGAUGAAAAAGAGAUGUUCCCAGGCACCUGCCUGAGGAGUCUAUGGAAAAUUAUAACAGUAUCACUUACAUCGCAUUUAUCGUGUGUCAGGCACUGCUCUAAUUACUUUGCUUAGAUGGUUUCAUUUAAUCUUCACCAUAGCUGUGUGCAGUAGAUACUUUUAUCAUCCCUGUUUUACAUCUGAGGAAACUGAAAAACAGGGAGAGAAGUGAUUUGAGUAAACUCAUGUGGCUCGUAGUGGUUUAAACCCAGCCAGCCUGCUCUGGAGGCCAGGCUGGGUCCCCAUGUCAAUUAGGUUGGCUUAAAUGAAUUUCCUUCUAAAUGGAAGGAAAUUUAACUUUCCUUAAAUGAAUUGCCUACAAAACUGGCAAUCAGAGCAAAGUGGUGUAAUGUGCACUUGCUUUUGAAAUAAGUCAAUUCUAUUAUAGAAGACGAAGAAAUUUGUAAAAUAUAGGUGAACCAUUUUAAGGUGUGUUAGAUAUAGGCAAGCAGUUAGUAAGUAGGACAUAUGUGUUAAACAUAGAUGGGAAGGCAUAAAGUGACCAAAAGAUAUCGAUAUUCAUGAGGUCCUGGGUAUUAAAUUCAGUCAUAUAAAUGUAUAUGGGAUAUAUGAGAUACUAAAUAUAAAAAAAGGCAUAAAGUAUUCAGGUUACUAAAUGAGCACAUAAUAUUAAUGAGGUCCUAAUUCACAUAGCCAUUCUAGCCCCAUGUAUCCUCUGCCCAAGAAACACACAUAAACCCAGGGCUGGUCAUCAGCUAACUGGUGAGCUAUAGCUGUGGUCAGAGGUACUUGUCCCUUUGUUUCUCCAAUGGAGCCAAUGUGUGAUGGGCCCAGGGCAACUUCCAUCCUUGGGCCCCCUUGCUCAAAUCUCAAUUUUGAUCUUUGUAACUAUGGCAUCAGUAGGAAAGACGUGUGUGUGUGUGUGUGUGUGUGUGUGUGUGUGUGUGUGUGUGAGAGAGAGAGAGAGAGAGAGAGAGAGAGAGAGAGAAGACAAAUGAACACUGCUAACCCAGGAUUCAAGCAGUGAGGUCCUUCCACCCUGGCUGCACCCUAUCUUAAGUGUGUUCACUCAUCCUGGUCUCUUUUCCCUUCUUUCUCACUAUGUGUUACAAAUGGAUUUUUAACAAACCAUCCUAUGACCUCCUGGUAGUAUUUUCGGCAUUCUGGUAACUGCAAUGGCAUCAAGAUAAUGUCCCACAGGGCAGUGGUACACCCAGGCUGUUGGGACCUCAGCAAGACCUCUGAUAAGGGUACAUGAGAUCCUUGUGGGCAGAUAUAAGCUGGGAGGUACGACAAACAGAAGGACUCCUGCCUGCUGGUGGGGGCAACAUUCUGGCACCAGGGCCCUAGGAAGAGGUUCCUGGUGAUGCUGCAUCUCUCUGGUCUGUUCUGGUGAUUAGGUGAAGACAUACAAGUUAAUUUAAUCAAAUUUAAAGAGGUGACAAAUAUUUGAAGGUCUUCAUGUUGGAGAAGGGUUUCAUCUGUUCUGAUUUUCUGAGUUGAGCUGUGGGCCAUCAGUUCCACUUGGGGCCAGAUGCUGGGAUGUGACGGGGAGGGAGAGUGUGGGGACUGGCCGUAGAAUGUAACGAGGGGCCCUUGAGUCCACAGAGCACCGAGUGAGGUGACGUGGGGAAGGAUGAGAACAGAGCUCAGCCCCAAGAGUUGUGCGUGGAAGGAGGGAAGUAAGAAAACUGGUCCUAGGUGAGGCGUACCACAGAGCAGAAGGUAAACAAGACCCAGGUGCCCCAGUAGAGGGGAUCAGUGGUUUUCCUGGGGAAUGUGAAGGAAGCUGCUAACCCCCAGCAUCCUGGGAACCAAAUCCGUCUAGUAUCUAGGAUCUGCUAUGCCCAUGUUAAGCCUGGCUCACUACAUAACCAUUGAUAAGUAUAGGAAUUGUGGAUACUUCAGGCUUGUUCCAGCAAUCCUGCCCUCACACUCUUCCUAAUUAGUUCCUAUCUCGCUUCUUUCAAACUCUGAAUCAGUGUGACAUGAGCCUUUGAGCUGGGACUUUGGAACCCGGCUUUCUCUAAAGAAGUAGUUUUCAAAAAUUUUUGACCUUGAUCCACAGUCAAAAUGAAGUAUGUAUACGUGAACAUGCACACAUAUAUGAAGCCAAAAUAAGAGUUCCAUGAAAUUUACCCUUACCACAUUUGAGGAGCUCUAAUGCGGUCUGUUCCAUUUCACGUAAAAAAUGUUAGUCACAACACACUAAGUUGUUAUAUAUCCCACUAAUGUAUCAUGACCCAUAGUUGGAGAACAUAGUGUUAGAAGGUUCAGGCUUGACUUUUGCUCUUUUGCUGUCAGGGCCUUGUGCUACCUUGGGAGCAACACUGCCCUUCCUGAGCCAAUGGAACCCAAUUCCGGACAACAACCAAAUGCUUUAAUUUCUUCCACAGAGAUGGACCAGAAAUGAAUGGGCAUUUACUGGGGAACCCAAAGACGUAUUAUGACCUAAAUAAUUUGCAUAUAUUUCUUCAUGUAAUUCUCAUAGUCAUCCUAUCCAUUUGAUAUUUUCAUUCUCCUUUCACAAACGAAGCAAAUGAGAUCAAAGAAGUUGUGUGAUUCAUCAGUGGUCACAAAGGUAGUAAGUGGGAUAAUUGGCACUUGAACCAAAGACUGUUUGACUGCAGCUUCAGGACCAGGUACCUUUCUUCUGUAUCAGUGAGAUUACUGCCCCCAGCUCUCUCCUAUAUAUGACAACUCUGGAGCUUGAAUUCCCUUUCCAUUUUCCCUUGUGAAUCCCAAACCCUCUCUUUGCUAUAUGUGCUACUGGAAUAACUUGAGAAUAAAGAUCUUAUGUAGCAAGUUUUUUUGUCUUGUACAUGUGUGUUUGGUGAUUAUCCUCAGCCUCAUGAGUAUCUUUAUCCUUGUCUUAUCCUCACAAGUAUUUCUAAGCAAUAUUUUGACAGAGGCAAGGGCUGGCGUGGUAGAAGCAGCUGUCUGUUAUGUUGUCUCCAAUGACAUAU